GGAAAGUGAGCCCCAUGAAUUCUGGCACAAAACAUGAUAACGCAGAACGCAGAGAAGUUUUUAAGAAUUAUUGUAUGUUUCGGAUAAGGAUACAUGUGAACCUGCAUAAUCUUGUGAGAAGGAGAAAUGGAGUGUUGACAGAGGAGUGUGAACUAGAGAAAGACUGUGAAAAUGCUCAUGGGUACCAUCGACCAAUGCCCAAACAGC